UACGUAGGGGGCAAGCGUUAUCCGGAUUUACUGGGUGUAAAGGGAGCGUAGACGGUAUGGCAAGUCUGAUGUGAAAACCCGGGGCUCAACCCCGGGACUGCAUUGGAAACUGUCGGACUAGAGUGUCGGAGAGGCAAGUGGAAUUCCUAGUGUAGCGGUGAAAUGCGUAGAUAUUAGGAGGAACACCAGUGGCGAAGGCGGCUUGCUGGACGAUGACUGACGUUGAGGCUCGAAAGCGUGGGUAUCAAACAGG
rnacentral:rRNA from 1 species